CAAAUCGAUCCACCCUUCUCUCCCCGCCGCGGCGCAACUCCUCUGGCGGCCGGCGAGCGAGCAGAGAUGAACGCCGCUGCUCCCGCCUCCCCUCUCACCUUCUUACUCUUCCUCAAUCCAAUCUGCCGGCGGGGAAUUUCGGAUUCCAGCGCGAAGGGGCGCAUCGGUGAUCCUUCGGCGCGCGGCUGCGAUAGAGCUCGUCCCUCCUCUUCCACGGCCACCAAUGGCGCAGGUCCCUUUCCUCCUCGAACGCUCGCUCAGGGUGCUCCGUUCCUCAGCCGGUGAACCCCCGUCUCUUCCACGGCAGCGGCACAGGCCGCAUCUUGAGCCUCCCUUCUCUUCCACGACAAGCGGCACAAGCAACAUGUUUUCUAGGGUUUUGUUUUCUUUGUUUUUUUUUUUAAAUUAAUUAGUCUGGUAGAUUUGGAGAGAAGGGAAUUGCAGAUUUGGAAAGGAUGAACAUCCAAAUUAAGCAGAUUUGAUUUGUCUUUCUGUUCUGAACAUGGCACUGAACUUCAGAAAUUUACCUUUCUGUUCUGAACUGCAGAUUUGUCUCAUUGCCAACAUAUCUGCAUAAGCUACAUCCAAAUUAAGCAGUACCAGUCCCCAAAAAAAUUACUUGGCCAGUGAAAGAAGCCAGUAUUCUGCGUUUCUGUUCGAUUUACUACAGGAGGAUUUGGAAGGAGAGAUGGAUGUUCUCUUGGAUUCAAGCAAUGAUGGGACGAUUGCUCUUUCAACAUAUUCUAUUAGCAAGGAUGGCAAGUGAAAGUGGGAGCGACUGGAUCACUAUUCCUAUCAUGCAUUGUAGACAUGAUGCAUUGAACAUAUGUCUGACAAUUGUCCUUGCAGGAUUCGAUUCGGUACAAGACCAUCACCGAGGCAGACGUGACAAGGGGUUCAUCGUGCCAGGCACCUCGGUGCUGCUUCGCUUCGGUGCGACGGCGGCAGCGGCUACAGAAACAGCUAUGGUGAGCUCCUCUCCUCACCUCCAGUGGUUGCUCUGAGCUCGACUUGGCCAUUGUGCCAUGGCUAUGUCUGGUUAGGCUGCUACAGGUACGCCCUUGCAUAAUGAUGGUGCUACUCUUUGUUUGUUUGUUCGUUUCUCUGCCUUGCUGCCUGCCUGAUAGAAACCUGCUGAAUAUAUGUCCUUGAGCAGCAACUGAUAGAAUAUAUAUAGGUCAUGUUCAUGUUGAUUCCCAUCCCACUCAAAGUCUGAAACACUUCUUCGCACUCAACAACUAGGCAGCACACCUGAAUAUAUAUAUGCACAUAUGUAUGUAGUUUCCCACUACACACAUGGAGCAGUCUUGUUAGUUUCGGGAUGUAGUAUCACCACUUAAUUUGUUCCCUGCUUGCCUCCAUGAAAUUCGGACUGCAUAUAUGUGGUCUAUGUACCAUCCAUGAUAUGCACUCGCAUCCUCAACUCAUGUUGGUACUGUUUUAUUUCCAAGGAUGCCUUCCUACUCCUGCUAGUUUAGUUGUCGUGUGGCCGUGUUUCCAGGAUGAUGAAAUUCCGAAUAUCUGGUUGUGGCGUGCUGCUCUCUUUUGACACUAAUUUUAUAUCACUACAAUUGUUCAUACAACAUGGAGGGCCGGUACGGAUGCCAUGGAUGCUGCAAGGUUGCUUGUCCUAGUAUGUCUUGCUUGCCCAUUUAGUAUGUAUAUCACUUCAUUCAAUUAAGAAAGGCAUUUCCGACAGCGUUAUGGUAAGAAGUCGUCUCAAGAAGAGUGGCGCUAGAAUAACCAUAGAGGUCAAUAGAAGGAAGCGGGCGAGCACAGAAGCUAUAGGUUGAGUUGGAGGCGGUGCGUUACCAACAGAAUUAGUCAUGGUAUUCGAGGGAGAUGGCGCAUUAGAAGAAUCCACAACACGUUGACGACCAAUGCGGUAAGAAGAGGAUGAGGGGGAAUCAAAGGGAAGCCUCAAGGGACGAGAGAGGUUUGAGGCAGUCUCAGGUAAUGAACAAGGUGAGGAAGCCACGGGUGACGAUGGCAUGGGAUCUCAACACUAGUACAGGAAGACACGGUGGGAGGGGUGGUGUGAUAGGUAUAUCUGGAGAAGUGAGGAAAUAAAUAUCGUCAAUGGGAGGAUGGACGUGGAUAGAAAGGAUGAGACUCAUCAACUCACGAGCUGCCUCAAGAAAGUGAUCAUGCUUCGCUCAUCAACACCAGUUUGAGCAUGAGCACCAGGAGAGUCGAGCUUUUCGUAUUAAGCACUGGGAGCAGAGAAAUCCUAGGGUUGCUUUGUCCUCAGUCUUAGUAAUUAGUGUACCCCUUGUAUUUGCUUCUCCUGAUGGUUGGUCAAUUGAGCAAGUGUGCCUUGCUCAGCAAGGAAUCCGCACAUCAUAUGAGAGAAAUACUCAUGAGUAGAAUCUUCACCGAAGACACUGAUAGGAGUGGAAAACUGGGUAUGAACCAUGGCGAUAAACUUCUUACAGAUAGAUAAGAUCCCAUUACAAGAAGAUAUAAAAUAUAUCCAUGUAUGUCGAGAGUAAUCAUCUAUAAAGAUAAUAUAGUAGCGAUGGCCUCCUAUCGAGGCAAAGGAAGCUAGAACCCGAACAUUAGAGUGAACAAGAUCGAAAGGAUGUUGAUACACCGUCUCGCUAUGAGGAUGAAGUAACUGAACCUGUUUACCAAGCUGACAAACUUGACAGUUUAAAGACACAACACCCAAGACAGAUCCAAGAAAACCACGUCAAACUAAAGAUGAGGGACGAGAGCCAUACAAGUGACCAUCGGUGUUGCAACAUAGAGACGGUAGUCGAGGAAACAGAGGCGAAGAGCCGAAGAGACUAGCGGCGGUGUCAGCAUGGCAGGUGAAGUCAGACAAGCUCCCGGAGGUCCUGGGAGUCACUACGCCGAGGGCCAACACAAAGUAGGGAACCCGUGUGGCGAUCCUAAUCUAACCACCUAAAAUGAGCAAACGAAGGAACAUGACAAGACAAAGUGCUAAUAGUGCCUCGACUAUCGAAUGGGAUGGAAAUAUCAUCAGCAGUAAGAACAUGAACAUGAGAAUCUAUAGGUUUGAAUGGAGGACAAACCGGAAUAAUCAUGAGUCAUAUGAAAAGACGCUCCGGUAUGAAGGAUCCAUAGAAAGAUGUGCUUCUAGCCUAGAAAUGAGUUAAGUGCUCAACCUCGUGGUAGCGAACUUAUAUGAUACUUUUUGGACAUUUCUAAUAAUAGCAUUUUGGCCUGUGGAAUAGUGUCUUAUAGAAUACCACGAGGGAAAACUGGGACGAGCAACUCAGCAGGGUUCCUAUUCUCAAGUUAAAGUGAAGAAAAGACAGAGGAUGGCAAGGGGGUGCUGCUCCUGACAGUGUUUUCAUUGCUUCCACGUACCUCUCUUGCAUUUUCCAUUUCUUGCCGACCCGACUUGGCAUCCUUCCCCUGUUUGUGGGUUGUGUGUCACGGACUUGAUUCCGCAUUCCACGUUCCCUUGCUGGGCGUCCCUGGCCUUGGCGACAGGUAGCGUCGUGCUCCUGGGUGCUUUGCGUCCUCGCGUAAGACGGAGACGGUGCCAACUGCCGUGCUCCGCCAGUGGUGGUGCCUGAGCUUGUGGCUAUUGGGACAACCUUCAUGGGAGCACGGGAUGUAGGAACAAGGCAGCACACAAAGCAACUUGCAGCCAGGUAAAGGAUUCCUUGCCGGACUGGCGUGUAGUGGAGAGUACACGGGAGGUGUGGUUAAAGGGUGAAAACGCUGUUGGGAGUGUACUGCCGAUGUCGUCAGUCUUUGGACCCAGAGCUGAGCGAAGAGGGGAUGGCGAUAAGGAAGCGGGGAAGAUGGGAAGAGGGAGCUGGAAGGAGAAAGACAUCAUCCGCCAUGACGGUGAACGGUUGUGGGCAUGGUACCUAUUGUGUUGUGUGGGUGUGUUUGGUUGUUAUUGGCAAGGCACUCUCCUAUGUGUGUUGUCGUCAUGUAGUCCGGGAUCCUUUGUGUGGCUCAUUGGUGGUGAAAGCCCUGUACUUACUAUGGUUGGCGUCGAUAACGAUGGCGAUCUUGCCCGUUGUUUCCUUCUUGAAGGCCUCGUUGUGGUGCUACGUCCCUCGCCGUCGUGAUUGUCCAGUUGGCAAGGUUGAUUUGUAGUCAGGCUUUAUGGAUGUUAGAGCGGCGACUUUAGACGGUGGUUGUAUGUCGAGGCAGCGACAUUGGUUACAGGUUAAUGGGUAGGUCAGUGGAUCUACAUUGCAUGGGUGGCGUCUAUAUGCUACGAGGGUAGCGAGUUCAUCGGCACGGCCAAAGUGAUCUGUGGGUUUGGUCUUGGUGGCGUCUAUAUGCUACGAGGGUAGCGAGUUCAUCGGCACGGCCAAAGUGAUCUGUGGGUUUGGUCUUGGUGGCGUCUAUAUGCUACGAGGGUAGCGAGUUCAUAGCAUAAAGAAGGAACACGACAAGACAAAGUGCUAAGAGUGCCUUGACUAUCGAAUGGGAGGGAAGUACCAUCAGCAGUAAGAACAUGAACAUGAGAAUCUAGAGGGAUGAAUGGAGGACAAACUAGAAGAAUCACGAGUUAUAUGAAAAUACGCUCCAGUAUCAAGGAUCCAUGGAAAUAUACCCAACUGUGUAAAAAGUGGUCUAACACACUGAAGUCUCGUAAUCUCCAGCAUCGUGAGGGAUUCAACUGAAGAGGUCAACGAAGAAGCAUCAGGCGACGAGGAAUCAGAAGCAGUAAUUAGGUAUCGAAGUUGUGCAAUCUCUUGCGCGGUGAAGGACACUACUGAAAUGGUUGACGUAGAUUCACCAGAAGAGUGGCCGCCUCCACCACCUGUGUGAGCCGCUAGAGGUGUAGUUCGACAAAUACCGGUUGUAGAAGUCGAUGGAGGAGACGGCACCGCAAGCACAAAAGCACCAAGCGCGAUGAGAAGGUGCAUUUGUGAGACGUAGCUGGUGGAGUGAUGUGCAACAACGCUAUCGACGUAAGCCUUGAGGGGACGCUGUGUAGAGUGACCAUCACCGUCUGCAGAGGUCACGAGAGGUGUCACUAUGGAGCCACCACCACUGCCUGCAAAAGCCAUGGGGGUAGCAACGUCAUAGGUGAGGAACACGAAGCACCGACAGACCGAUAGACGACGCAUGUGUGAGAUGGGGUAAGCAUAGGAACACCCUAAGAAAUCAUCGAACAACAAGAGACUGUCCAAAUUGUGCCUGUUUUUUCUUCUACCGUUUUCUUUUACAGAACAAUCUUAGAGAGCUUAGAGCAUCAAAGAGCAGCGUAUAGGGCGCGCAUAGUAGGGGCAUGGUCCCCAAAGAAGCCAAUUGGCGGGAUGGGUUGCCGAGUCUAAGGUUCGGGUGCGAAAUGCUGCAUGUAGCAAAAGAGGGAGUUGGGACUGUGACCUGCAGCAACGGACGUGUCAAAGAUCGCGCCUCUUGGAGCAGUGGGACGCCGGCCUCCCGGAGAUGGUAGUGAGGCACUGACCUUCUGUACAUGGCGACGAGGCGCGGCCUCCUGAAGAUAUUGAAGAGGCACCUUGCGAUUGCGAGCGUGGCGGAAGUGGCCAGAAGGGCGAGAGAGAUGGAGGCGGAGGCACCGAGCUCUGAAGUGCAUGACGGGCGCGGCGGCCUGUGGGAAUUCACCGAGGCGGUAGAGGCCUAGAUGAAGGAGAGACGAGGAGAUGCCGACCUCUUGGAGAUGGUGGCAAGGCGCGGCUUCCUGGAGCGGUUGGCACCAACCUCCUUGGGAUGGAGGUGAGGCGUCAGCCUCCUAGAGAUGGCGAUGAGGCGUGACCUCUUGAAGAUGUUGGGGAGGUAGCCUGUUGCGAGCGUGAUGGAGGGAGAGGUACUGAGCUCAUAAGGGCACGACAGGAGUGGCGACUUGUGGGAAUUCUCCGGGACGGGAUAGGCCUGGAUGACAAAGGAGAGACAACCCCGACUUGGAGGCAGUGAAGCGAUGACAAGAAAAAUUGAUCGAGGUGUACUAGCCUGAGAAAAAAUGAUCUGGAACUUAGAUCGAGAUCGAUAGAGAGGAGCACGAGUUGUGUGUGUGAGGAAGAAAACCUAGCUCUAAUACCAUGUUAGGAAUAUGCAACUUGUAUUCCAAGGUGGCCAUAGGCUAAACACGUACAUAUGUGAUGAAGAAAGCCCCUUGUAUAAUGUGAAAAUACAAAGGGCACAUGACUAUAAUAUACUAUUACUCAUAACAUGUUGAACACCCGGGCAUUGUGUACCUUCCAUAUGUCUAAAAUGCGAGCAACAUUGUUGACUCGAGUCCACAGUGCGUCGAAGGCGGAAUGGCCGCCUGACAGCCAAUCGACCAGUUGGAAAGGGAAACGUCGCCCCCUUGGGGCAGUGCUGAUGUUGAAGAGGUGAUCACCAAUUUCUAGAUUGUCGUCAAGGAGAGCUGGUGAAUAGGUGUUGAGCUCUCUUAGGGGCACUGAAGCAGAGGGUGCAGGCGAUGUGGAUGUCUAUACCGUGGCGGUGACGAUGUCAGUAGACCAUAAACAAUACUCCAGAUAUGUGCCAACCGCGUGUGGCUGCAAUUGCAAUCCAAAGCCAAGCAUCAUUGAGUCAUUGUGGUGAAGAAGAGGACGAGGGGAAAUCACCGGAGAAGCCUAAGCUUACGAGCGAGGUGAGGUAGCCUCAGGUAACGAAUGAGGUGGGGAAGCUACAGGUGAUGACGGACUAGUGUCUACAAGAUUAGUACUAGAAGACACAGUGGGAUGGGUGGAGGAGGACAAUACAUGGGUGAUGGGUGUAUCGGGAGAUAUUGGGAAAGAAAUUUAACUCAUAAAGUAUGAGAGGGUCAUUAGGCAGCCUUGUUCUCCCAUGAAAUUAUUCAUUGAAAGCGACCCGCGGCUAUUGUAGCUAGAGAAAAAAUCGGGACGAAUCGAUCCCCACCUGGACACAAUGGGAUGGGUGGAGGAGGACAAUACAUGGGUGAUGGGUGUAUCGGGAAAAAUGAGGAAAGAAAUUUAACUCAUAAAGUAUGAGAGGGUCAUUAGGCAGCCUUGUUGCUCCCGUGAAAUUAUUCAUUGAAAGCGACCCGCGGCUAUUGUAGCUAGAGAAAAAAUUGGGACGAAUCGAUCCCCACCUGGACAUGAGCCCAGGGGCCGACUCCACUCCUCAUUGCCCUGGACCAUGACCUAACCCGGGUUUCCCCUAGGACCCUCCUUCCAUCUUGCCCCCGCCGCUUCCUCUCUUCUCCCUUGCACCGCCCAUCUCUGGCGCCUCUCCCAUGCCCUUGCCCUCAUUGUCGUGAGCUCUGCCGUUCGCUGCCCCGAGCUCUGCCCUUUUCUUCAUGCGGGGCUGCCGGUGUAGCUCCUCCUCCCACGCGGCCUCCACCGACAUUAUUUCUUCCUGAGCUCGACCUUGUCCAUGGCUGCAAGCCACCACGGACUCCUUCCGCUUCUUCCAGACGGCCAACACGUUUGUGCGCGAUUAGCUCGCAUUUUCAUGGCCUCCAACUGCACAGGUGAGUCCCAAACCGUCUCUCUUUCUCUCCCUGCUCCCUGCAUUUUGUGGAAUCAGGAGCGGAAGAAGCAGCGAGCGAGUUGGUGGCAGCUCCGGGUGGCUUCGUGUGACUGCUGCGCUGAUUGUGGCUUUGUCAGCCGGCGGCAGGGUUGCGGCCUGUAUCGUGCAGCUAAGGUGUUGAGCGACAGCUAGGGUUUUCGGUGGCGGGCAGCAAUAGAAGUUCAUCUGACCUUCGUUCCUGCAGCAUGGUUCAAAUCAAUUAAAGACCUGAGAUUCAGUUGUAGAAGCUGCAGACAACCAGCACCGGCGAGGCACAGAAGAAGUUUCCACGGUCAGGUCUACAUUGAGGCAAGGCCAUGUCAAGGACACCACGGCCAUCGAAAACGACUGCCAAUAAGGUGCAAAUAGGAUACUUUUGCUUACUGGAUACAUUAUCUUCCAAGUUAUUUCAGAGAUCUAAUAAUGCGGUUCCAAGCACUAAGAACCCAAAAAGGCUGCUUUAAACUUUAAUAUAUAAUAUAUAUUCAGGGUUUGUCUACUUGCUUCAAAAUUGGACUGAGACUUUUGCUUGCUGAUAAAAUCCUUCAAUUCGUAUAAGUUUCCCUUCAUUACAUGCUUAUUGUUCCUUCACAAAAGAAUGUUUUACAUUUCCAAAGGUUACUAAGUUAAUAGGAUGGUGGUAACCGUUGGUAAAAUUAUUGACUCGUUCCCUCUUUUCAUCUUCUCAGUAUUUCUGCUACUGUUGACCUUCCUUAUUCACAUGUUUCUUUAGUUUGUACCUUUGAACACGUGCAGGUUCCAUCCAACCUGUAUGGGAAUGAUCAUUGAGCAGGCCAAAAAGUUACAUAAUUUCCUGUGCUCGGAUUGUGCUAAAGAAAACGACACAAAGAGACCUUCAAAUUCAUAUACCAGAGUUCACCAAGUUCUGAUUCUAAAGCCAGUGAUUUAAGUCCCUUUUCUUGACUGUACAGUUUAUCAAUAUUCUGCUUGCGGAUAGCUAUAUGCCUUUAUCUUAUCUUUUUAAAUUUAGUUUCAAGAAUUUCAUUUCCAAAGCUGGUGGUUCAUGCCUUUGUUUUUUCAGUAUUCCUCGGAAAAUGUUUGGUGUUUGACUAAGCAAGUACUCAUGUGUAGUUAAAAUUUCCUGUCAUGAGGUGGUGUUCAUUACUAGGUUCAAAGUAUGCUCAGAUUAUCUUCCAAAUCAUGAUGAUGAUGGCUUUUUCUAUCAGCCUGCCCUUAGGUACACUGGAGAUGCAGUUCAAUCACCAGUUCAAACUUCUGUUGAGUAAGCUCAUUGUUAAGUUUAGACAUAUAAUUAUGUGUCUUGAAUUCUUUUUAUUUUAUAUUUUUAUAUGAAAUAAAUCAUCUGUAGCAUACUUGGUUUCCCAUAUUGUUUUUAAUUAUAGAUUUAGGCUGCGUUCGGUUUGUAGGAUUUUCGCAGGAAUCUAGAAGGAAUACUGUUCAUGGAGGUUUAUUUUCCUUUGUGGUGUUCGGAAUGCAGGGAUCACCUACAGUAAUUUAAAGUAAACCGGCCCUUCCGAUGCUGAUUCCAGAGGAAAUGAAACAUCUGCCUGGAGCUCAUUUUUUCGCGGAAGACCGAGGCAAGGUGCCUUAUGCCUUGGCAGUUAGCAUAGAGACCUAGUUAAAAUAAGCUGAUGUGUCGAUGCAUGUAGGACUACAUAUUAUUGAGAUAUUAGUUCUUCU